AUAAUUUUAAUGAAAAAAAAAAAAAAAAUCUGUUCUUAUCAGUUUAAUAUCUGAUACGUUCUCUAUCCGAGGACCAUAUAUUAAGUUGACUUUUAGGGUUGGGAGAUGGAGCAAGGGCUUGCUCUCCCCACUCCACGCAUCGACCUGGUAUUGCCAUGUUCUGUGUAGGGCGGUGCUGAUGCG